rnacentral:rRNA from 1 species
CAGCCGCCGCGGUAAUACGUAUGUCACGAGCGUUAUCCGGAUUUAUUGGGCGUAAAGCGCGUCUAGGUGGUUAUAUAAGUCUGAUGUGAAAAUGCAGGGCUCAACUCUGUAUUGCGUUGGGAACUGUAUAACUAGAGUACUGGAGAGGUAAGCGGAACUACAAGUGUAGAGGUGAAAUUCGUAGAUAUUUGUAGGAAUGCCGAUGGGGAAGCCUGCUUACUGGACAGAUACUGACGCUGAAGCGCGGAAGCGUGGGUAGCAAACAGGAUUAGAUACCCCAGUAGUCCCUGUCUCUUAUACA